rnacentral:rRNA from 1 species
GAUGAACGCUGGCGGCGUGCCUAAUGCAUGCCAGUCGAGCGAACGGACGAGAAGCUUGCUUCUCUGAUGUUAGCGGCGGACGGGUGAGUAACACGUGGAUAACCUACCUAUAAGACUGGGAUAACUUCGGGAAACCGGAGCUAAUACCGGAUGAUAUUUUGAACCGCAUGGUUCAAAAGUGAAAGACGGUCUUGCUGUCACUUAUAGAUGGAUCCGCGCUGCAUUAGCUAGUUGGUAAGGUAACGGCUUACCAAGGCAACGAUGCAUAGCCGACCUGAGAGGGUGAUCGGCCACACUGGAACUGAGACACGGUCCAGACUCCUACGGGAGGCAGCAGUAGGGAAUCUUCCGCAAUGGGCGAAAGCCUGACGGAGCAACGCCGCGUGAGUGAUGAAGGUCUUCGGAUCGUAAAACUCUGUUAUUAGGGAAGAACAUAUGUGUAAGUAACUGUGCACAUCUUGACGGUACCUAAUCAGAAAGCCACGGCUAACUACGUG